UUAAACUGCAUCAUCACUUACCAUAUGAAAUCACUGUCAAAGUCAAAGCUAUUUAAAUUCAAAAUAAGUACCAACACACUUUAAUUGUUGAAUUUGUGAGAUAAUUCAUGUAAUGGUGAUAAUUACGCAAACAUAUAACUAAAGCUACACGGGUUACAAACGCUCCUUGGUGCUCGAUUGUGGUAGAAUGACAGCUACAAUGUCACGAUCGCAAUCACCUCUGAUUGGUCGACGCUCGCUCACAAUUGGUUACAAUGCAUUGUUGCAACCAUAGUACCAUAAAUUCAGCCAAUCACAAUAAUUGAGAUUGUAAUAAUGAUUGAUGCAGUUUUUCCGCAAUCGACCAGUUGGUCCAUAGGCUAGGUUGUCAUAAAAAACUGACUAUUCCAGUUUCAACUUUCGUGACGGGCUUGUAUACAGGCGACUCGGUCUGAGUGGAUGUCCUCAGUAACGAAACUCUGACAAUGUGCGUAUUUCCUGUGACCACAGUGUAAGUAAACUUAUAUGCAGUCUGUAUUCAUUGCACUCUUCAUCUUAAUUUAUUGCAUCCAUAAUUAUAAUUGUUGAAACUUCGAAUCGUUAGCUUUGUGUUUGUGUGAGUCUGAAAUAGUUUUUUUUAAAGAGUAUAAUACUCGGAUUUAGAUUUUUGAAAAUCCCCUUGUUUUUCCACGGCAAAAAGUAGUCUUAUGUGCGUCUAUGGGUUGUAAGAAUUUUCAUCAAAACUGGAUGGGCCCUGAAAAGCUAGCAGACAGACAGCCACCCUUUCGCAUUAUAAUAUUAUUAUGGAGUAUGCAUUUGGCUUUGUGUAAGAUGGUAACUUAAAUACUAUCAGACCAGACUUGACCUAAUUAAGAAAAUUUUACUGUCUAAAGUUUAGACUCUAAACUAUCUCAGUCAAUGUUUGAAUCCAGCACUUUCCAAUAUGACCAUUUCCCUGUAUGUCCAUUCCUAUAUGACCACAUCCCAGUAUGGCCACUUCUUGAUGUAUGACCUGACCACUUCCCAUUAUGACCACUUUCUGAAAUAACCAGUUCUCUAUAUGGCUAUACCCCGGUAUGUUCAUUCCGAGUAUGGCCAGUUCUCGAAAUCGCCACAUAUUUUAACAUUUACAAAAUUCAAAAGGAAUAAUCAGAUCUUUUCAGAUUUAUAUUUUAGCAACCUAUUUAGAGUGUUAUUUUUAACCCCCGACCCAAAAAGAAGGGUGUAAUAAGUUUGACAUCUGUGUAAACUCAGUGUCAGUGCAAAACUAUACAACUUUGAAAUCACGGAAGUGCAAAGCUCGUUUCGUCGUUUCAACUACUACGUCACAAAGUACUUAUCCCUUGUUUGUCUUUCGUUGCCAUCUCGCGGGAAAAUCUAUUGCCAAAUAUUAUGCUCAAUAUUCGGUGUACAUGUUACGUUGGACGGGAGAAAUGUGCACAUUGUGACCAUGUUAAAUACUAUAUUUAUUGCGUUGAUAUACAAUACACCGAAGAUAUACAGAUCGUUUGGAUUGGAAGUACUAAAAGUGGCCUAAUAUUGUUGGCCUUUCCAAAGUUUACAAUUUAAAGAAAUUAAUUGGCUUUACCGGAAAUAAAAAACCGGAAUUAAAAAGUUCUCAAAAAGUCUCCAAUGUUUUGACGCAUGAAAACUUCUCACUACAGUUAGUAAGUUACAUCAAAUAACAUUUGGUCAUCCAUAUGAAUUGACAAAAUAAUGUUUAUCACACAUAACAAUUAUUUACAACUAAGUCAAACCGUACAUGGUGAAACUUGAUAUUGAAUUAAAAAUUAAUAUUCGAUGAAGAAAUUACAUUGCUUUCGGCUCAUCUGAUAGUAUGCGAUCAGCUUAAAAUUUACUCAACACUUAUUAGUAGACCAAUAACAUAAUUUAUUCGGACACUUUCACGGACGUCUGUAUAUCUUGGGUUUCGUAUGUCGAUGGUUUAUUAUUAUCGAUUCUCCAUGCCUAACAUAGAUGAAGUCAAAUAAAUAAUGUUGCUGUAAUUCUUGUUGAUAAUCGAAAUUAUGCUUUAUUGUAAAACAAAUAUAGUUCUAUUUAUAGUGGAGGCAUUGCAGUCGCGACUUGGGUUCCUAAUUACCGUGCUCUGCCCUGACAGGGCGCCUUUUACAUUAUCAUAUAGAUUCAAAGCCAGGAGUAGGUAGGUACAGGGCGGCCGGUCGAAAUCAGUAUAGCGAAACGAUUAACGCCUAUGGCGUAAAUGCGUAUCGCAUGUCGCGUGCAAAUGCGUUAGUGUUCUAAAGGCGUUAAGCUGCAAAUAUAAUGUAUGUAUCGUAAAUCGUAGUGUACUCUUCGACCAAUUAGAGAACGCCUUUAGCGAAACGUUCGCGUACCAUUUGAAAUACUUGUACCUGUUUAUCUAUUUUAUUUACUAUCCUAUUUAUUUAUGAGAAUAAUUCGACAAACGACUAUUGACAAUAGCAUCGGACAUACAUAAUUUUGAAUAUUUUUACAAUUUUUUUUUUUUUACUUAAGUACCUAAGUAAAAUAGAAAUCGUCCAUCACUUAAUAAAGAUCACUGCCAUAGAUGUCUUUUAUUAGCAAAUUUCAAAAAUAAUUAUCCCUAUGUUACUGUCUUUUGACCCUUUCCAGCUCUCUUAUUCUUAAAGAUUUGACUAUGAUAAUGUAAUAGGUGCCUUCUUAGAACACUUUUGUUUAGAGUUAGACCACUCUGGUGUCCGUCGGAGUGUCGACUUGUUUAGCUUACGUAAUUUGUUGAUAUAAGUUAUUCAAUUAACAGUCCUCAUGUAGGGUAACCAUGUAUUAUAAAAACCUUAGCCUAUACUGGGCUCGGCGUAAGUUGUCAUGCAGGCGAUGGUUAAGACUCCUCACGUCAUUGACCGUGAACCAUACGUGGUCCACGCGUCUUACACUUCCCAACGUUGAAAAUUCGAUCGUUUAUAGCACGAUCCAACCACCACCACGAUAUAAAGUUCACAUUUCCAUGCUUUACUGUGAGUUAAGUUGGAGUGGAGUUAGCGUCGAGUCUGUUGUGUGAAGUGUGCCAAGACUUAUCCACUUUGCCCUGUGUCCCUCGCCCGCCUGACAGAUUACACUUGGCCUUAUUGUUUCGGUUUUACAGACGUGUAAAAAUUGUAAAUCCGCGAUGAAACAGGUAAUCAUGCACAAACUUACGAAUUAUUCAUUGUUUAAAUUUAAAAAAAAACGCUCGUAAUGAUUGUAUUUAAUUUGAUAGCUAUGCAAUACGAACAAUAAAAUAACUAAUGAAAUUAAAUAGCUAUUUAAUAUGUGACAAGUUGGAAUAGUUCCAAAUCAUAAAUGGUAGAUUAUAUUGUACCUACUAUCUUAUGGUGCAAACGCAUUGCUGUUGUAAUGUGUUACAACGAUCGACCAAUCAGAACGCGUUUCGAGCAUCAGCGCACCGAACGGAUCUGAUUUGCGCCACCGAUAAAGUAUGGUGAUCGAUUUGUAACUUUUUCGACUCGUCCCAUAUAAUAUUUUAGGCAGAAAUGCUUUGAAAAUCCACUGUUAACGCCAAACAAAGUCGCAACUAAAAAUAUAAUAUUUAUUCCUUCAAACGUUCUAUAAAAGUAUUAACAAAUGUUACUAAUAUACUUACCUAAUAAGUACGACUGCGUUCAUACAAUAACAGAAUUUUUCACAAAGUUUCUGAAAUAGCAUUCGGUUUUUAAUACAUCGUGAUGCCACUAAAACUGUUUGGACGCUGUUAAAUCUUGACUAAAGACCUUGAAAAAGUGGAUCUUCAAAGCAUCUCCCGCAUAAAAUGUAUUAUGUUUUUAGGUAGGCCCCAUUCAAUUAUUAAUAUGUAAGUGAAAGUGUAUAAAUAUUUCUCUACACAUUCUUCCAUAGACAGGUGACUUGACGUAUAAAUUGAAAUUGCCUUAUUUAAGGGAAAAGGUUUCUAUUUCGGUUCCGAAAACCGCUGCGGUUUUGAGUGAGUAGUGUCGCUAGUGUAGAUCACGGUUAUAUUACGGUCACGAAAGUUGAAAAUGUGUUAUCUUAUCUAAGUACCUUCAAGCAGGAAAUAUUACACAUCGAAUUUUAGACAGAGAAUUUAGCUUCGUAGAGCGUCGUCUCUGUCGCUCACACUUAUGUGACGUUUUGUCGGUCUCAACGACAGAGACGGCGCUCUACGAAACGUUAUCUUUUUCUAAAGUUCGAUGUGCAAUUUACAACCACUUUUAUAAGUUACGCCGAUGUACCUGCGCAGAAGUCUUAUUUUUGAAUUAUGGAAAAUAUCUCAGCUAAUCAUAGCGCGCGUCCAUCCGCUAUUCGUUAGCCUACGCGCGAUUUAUGAGCUAAAUGGCACGAGUCUCUGUUGUUCUUGCGCUUACGUAAGCAACAAGGUCUGUAUUUCAUUGGUGUACAUUUGGUUUUAGUCGGCGUAAGGUUGCACUUUUCUGCGCAAACGAAUUUUGCCGAUGCGACUUAUAAAGGUGGUAGUAAUGUAAUACGCUUGAUUCGUCUCGCGCACAGCACCUCAACCACAAAAUAGAAAGAUAUCAAAAUGCGGUGUGCCUCGGUCCCACUUCACUCUACUGGUGUGCGUUGUGCCUCAUACCCUCUCUAUUUUGUGCCUUAACUCUUGCACCGUUUCAACUUUUGUGAAUCGUUAUGUAUCGAUUGUUUAUGUGCAAUUCGGCCGCUACUUUUAUUCCAAUUCGCAUUUAUUAAUUUAUUUUAAUUCCAAAGAAUGUGCAAGCAAAAGAAAUAAUUUCACUGAAAAGUAGCUGUAAAUAUCUAAUGUACGAUUACAAUUAAUGUACCUAUUGCUACCUUGCUCUCACAUGAGGUGGUCAGCGAUUAACAUUAGUAUGUGACAGAGAUAAACAUAAGUUUUGAUGAGGAAUUUUUUUUUCGGUCGCAGUGUACAGAGCAGGUUUAUUGUUAAACUAAAUAAUGAGAAAGACGUAGAAUGUAAUGAAACCAGUACAUAAUCGUGUUAUUCUAUUUAUUUUCAGUGAACAAACUACGAGAUAGAAAUGUCACUAAGAAAUUAUUAAUAUUAAAUGAGAUUUUUAAUCUCGCAAUUACUUGUUGACAUUUAAAUAAUUGUUUUAAAACCAGAAUAACGUUACAAUAAUUAUAAAUUUGCUCAAUAAAGAAACAAUAUGGCGAAGUAAAUCGUGCACAAAUAGCAGCCAAUAGCCAUAAACCAAAACUUAAAAAUGGAGCGUUAAAUAUUUAAAUAAUACCUACUGUACAAAAUUAAAAGAUGCUGUGUAAAAUAAAGGCUAGCGCACAUAAGAGGUCGCACCGCAAACGCAACGCAAAAAUCAAGAUGAAUUUGAAUAGUUCACCUAGCUUUAAUAAAAUGAAAAAUCCGUUCAUCACUUUAAAAUAAAGUAUAAUAUAAAUAUUUUAUUAUAUUAUAAGGGGUUUUAAACGAAGACGUGAUGGGUUAACUUUCUACUACAUAGUGGUAAACUAGUGACUAUAAUAGAUAACACGUCCAACUAGUUAACUUACAUAACGACUAGUAGGUAUUCCUUAGGACGGUAUUUAUUUAGCUAGACUAAAAUAAGUCAUUUAAACCAUAAAAUCACGACUUAUAGCACAUCAAAAAAUACACAGACUAUUAUUGAAUGAAAAAUUACGGACGGAUUUUGCAAAGCGGCGCAGCCUGCUUUUGUGUACAUAGCCUUAGAAUAUUGCUUUGAAAGGUAAAUGUAAAUUCAACUGUAGAACAGAGGUAUUAGCGGUUAAGGAUAUAAAGGAAUGAGAUUGUGGCAAAUAUCGAGUCAUGGACUGAGAAAUGUUUAGGGUAUACUAUCGUUCGUCGGAAGAAAUCACUAGGGAUUCGCAGGAGAAAACAAAAGUAUCGAUAAAAUAUUAAAACGAGUGUGUUACCUUUAACUUUUCAAAGUUUAAUCCCCGAUUACUGCAAAGCAUUCUUUAACAAAAGAGAUAAUUGUUAUUAUGUAGGUAUUCGGGGGCUCGAACUCAAUUCGAUUAAAAAUGAGAUACGAAUAGGUUCCCACCAUAAACCAUUCGAUUACAAUAAUGAAUGAAAGACUGUAUCGUAUUAAAAUCUAUACUUAUUCGUAAUAAAAGUAUCGAAACUUUUGGCGAAUCCCUAGAAAUUAUUAAUUAACUAAGUCACUAAUUAAUAUAGAAGAUAAACGUGACAAAAACUAAUUUACAUGACAGGCCCGGAAGCGGCGUAUUGUUCAGUUGUUCAGAAAAGUAAUGAGCGUGUAGAAACAAUUUAUAUUAUUAUCUAUUUAAAAUAAAAUUGUAGCUAACUUGAAUUUUACGUAAUUUUUAUUUGCAAGGAUGUAUUAUUUAUGUAUAAUAAAAAUGUAAGUUAAAUGUUGCUUUAGUUAUCGCUUACGAUUUGAUCAUUGUUUUUUUUAACUGUCAGUUAAGUGUAACAGGAGAUUAUGUAAACAUGCAGAUUACUGAAGUUAUUUGUGAAUAUGUAAUUAUUCUUGUGAUCUAAAAUCCGUUUAUAUACUGUAUUUUUUAUUUUCUAGAUUAAAGAAAACAUCUUACUGCA